rnacentral:rRNA from 1 species
AUUGAACGCUGGCGGCAGGCCUAACACAUGCAAGUCGAACGAGUGGCGGACGGGUGAGUAAUGUCUGGGAAACUGCCUGAUGGAGGGGGAUAACUACUGGAAACGGUAGCUAAUACCGCAUACCAUCAGAUGUGCCCAGAUGGGAUUAGCUUGUUGGGGGGGUAACGGCUCACCAAGGCGACGAUCCCUAGCGGGUCUGAGAGGAUGACCGGCAACACUGGAAUGGGGACACGGUCCAGACCCCUACGGGAGGAAGCAGUGGGGAAUAUUGCACAAUGGGCGCAAGCCUGAUGCAGCCAUGCCGCGUGUAUGAAGAAGGCCUUCGGGUUGUAAAGUACUUUAAGCGGGGAGGCGUUACCCGCAGAAGAAGCACCGGCUAACUCCGUGCCAGCAGCCGCGGUAAUUC